UCGGGAAUAUUGCGCAAUGGAGGAAACUCUGACGCAGUGACGCCGCGUGCAGGAAGAAGGUUUUCGGAUUGUAAACUGCUUUAGACAGGGAAGAAAAAAGACAGUACCUGUAGAAUAAGCUCCGGCUAACUACGUGCCGGCAGCCGCGGUAAUACGUAGGGAGCAAGCGUUAUCCGGAUUUAUUGGGUGUAAAGGGUGCGUAGACGGAGAAGCAAGUUAGUUGUGAAAUCCCUCGGCUUAACCGAGGAACUGCAACUAAAACUACUUCCCUUGAGUGCUGGAGAGGAAAGUGGAAUUCCUAGUGUAGCGGUGAAAUGCGUAGAUAUUAGGAGGAACACCAGUGGCGAAGGCGACUUUCUGGACAGUAACUGACGUUGAGGCGCGAAAGUGUGGGGAGCAAACAGGAUUAGAUACC
rnacentral:rRNA from 1 species